GGUAGCGUGGCCGAGUGGUCUAAGGCGUUGGAUUUAAGAUCCCAAUGGAGGAGACUCCGCGCGAGUUCGAACCUCGCCGCUACCA
rnacentral:tRNA from 1 species